rnacentral:rRNA from 1 species
GAGUUUGAUCAUGGCUCAGGAUGAACGCUGGCGGCGUGCCUAAUACAUGCAAGUCGAGCGAACGGACGAGAAGCUUGCUUCUCUGAUGUUAGCGGCGGACGGGUGAGUAACACGUGGAUAACCUACCUAUAAGACUGGGAUAACUUCGGGAAACCGGAGCUAAUACCGGAUAAUAUUUUGAACCGCAUGGUUCAAAAGUAAAAGACGGUCUUGCUGUCACUUAUAGAUGGAUCCGCGCUGCAUUAGCUAGUUGGUAAGGUAACGGCUUACCAAGGCAACGAUGCAUAGCCGACCUGAGAGGGUGAUCGGCCACACUGGAACUGAGACACGGUCCAGACUCCUACGGGAGGCAGCAGUAGGGAAUCUUCCGCAAUGGGCGAAAGCCUGACGGAGCAACGCCGCGUGAGUGAUGAAGGUCUUCGGAUCGUAAAACUCUGUUAUUAGGGAAGAACAUAUGUGUAAGCAACUGUGCACAUCUUGACGGUACCCAAUCAGAAAGCCACGGCUAACUA